rnacentral:tRNA from 2 species
GGGGAUAUAGCUCAGUUGGUAGAGUGUUUGCCUCACAUGCACAAGGUCCUGGGUUCAAUCCCCAGUAACCCCC